rnacentral:lncRNA from 1 species
CCAGAGGCAGCUGCCGGCUUGCUGGUGUGACCUCAGGCCCCCUCCUGGCUCCCCAUCGGUGUACUGCGGUUACCCUGGCCAUUCUGUGGUAAACCAGAAAGCCUAAAUUUGGCAAAGGGAUGCAUGUGAUAUUGGAAGCCAAAGAAACAAAGACCAGGCCUGAGGACUUCCUGAGGAGAAACUGACAUGACCAGGGUGAGAUGCUCCCGCUGUUGGACGUCCUCCGUGGAGAGCUGGGCGGAGACCUCCACCAGUCUCAGGGGCAUAGACUCAAGUUCCUGUUCCUUCAUCAUAACCCACAUCAUCUGUGAAAUUAGGGCUGUUUCUCCCAGCCUUUGCAUUUAUCUCAAGCUUUGU